rnacentral:lncRNA from 1 species
CCUCGCGGAUCCUAUCUGUGCACUCCUCCUGGGACAUGCCGGCGGUGGGGUUGUUGGUCUCGUCGCUGGUGCUCGCGGAGACGAUGGGCACGGCCGCGGCCUCGCCCUCCAUCACUGCGUCAGGCUCUCUCCGGCGGCCGCGAGAGGAAAGAGAAAAGAAAGUGUUUUUUUUUUUUGCUGUUUUGUUUCUUCAAGAUUUUUCAGGGUUUUUCUGUGGAGGGCGAGUUUAGCUCGCGCCGCGCAGGUUGCAGCAAGCCUGGGACACGUGUGACCGAAAAAUAAUUAAAAACUAGGAAGGAACCGCGCUGCGGUUUUUUUAAUACAUACUUCUCAUAUAUAUAAGCGGUAUUAUCAACUUUCGGCCCCUACUUAUAUGGUAUUUUG